rnacentral:rRNA from 1 species
AUUGAACGCUGGCGGCAGGCUUAACACAUGCAAGUCGAGCGGGGGAAGGUUGCUUGCUACCGGACCUAGCGGCGGACGGGUGAGUAACGCUUAGGAAUCUGCCUAUUAGUGGGGGACAACAUAUCGAAAGGGGUGCUAAUACCGCAUACGUCCUACGGGAGAAAGCAGGGGAUCAUCGGACCUUGCGCUAAUAGAUGAGCCUAAGUCGGAUUAGCUAGUUGGUGGGUUAAAGGCCUACCAAGGCGACGAUCUGUAGCGGGUCUGAGAGGAUGAUCCGCCACACUGGGACUGAGACACGGCCCAGACUCCUACGGGAGGCAGCAGUGGGGAAUAUUGGACAAUGGGGGGAACCCUGAUCCAGCCACGCCGCGUGUGUGAAGAAGGCCUUAUGGUUGUAAAGCACUUUAAGCGAGGAGGAGGCUACUUUAGUUAAUACCUAGAGAUAGUGGACGUUACUCGCAGAAUAAGCACCGGCUAACUCUGUGCCAGCAGCCGCCGUAA